rnacentral:rRNA from 1 species
AUUGAACGCUGGCGGCAUGCUUUACACAUGCAAGUCGAACGGCAGCGCGGGCUGCGGCCUGGCUUCGAGUGGCGAACGGGUGAGUAAUACAUCGGAACGUGCCCAGUAGUUGGGGAUAGCUCGGCUAAAGCCGGAUUAAUACCGCAUACGACCUGAGUGUGAAAGCGGUGGAUCUUCGGACCUCGCGCUAUUUGAUCGGCCGAUGGCAGAUUAGCUAGUUGGUGGGGUAAAGGCCUACCAAGGCGACGAUCUGUAGCCGGUCUGAGAGGACGACCAGCCACACUGGGACUGAGACACGGCCCAGACUCCUACGGGAGGCAGCAGUGGGGAAUUUUGGACAAUGGGCGAAAGCCUGAUCCAGCAAUGCCGCGUGUGUGAUGAAGGCCUUCGGGUUGUAAAGCACUUUUGGCGGGAACGAAAAGGACUGUGCCAAUACCACGGUUCGAUGACGGUACCCGCAGAAUAAGCACCGGCUAACUACGUG